CGUAGGUGGCAAGCGUUGUCCGGAAUUAUUGGGCGUAAAGCGCGCGCAGGCGGUUCCUUAAGUCUGAUGUGAAAGCCCCCGGCUCAACCGGGGAAGGUCAUUGGAAACUGGGGAACUUGAGUGCAGAAGAGAAGAGCGGAAUUCCACGUGUAGCGGUGAAAUGCGUAGAGAUGUGGAGGAACACCAGUGACGAAGGCGGCUCUUUGGUCUGUAACUGACGCUGAGGCGCGAAAGCGUGGGGAGCAAACAGGAUUAGAUACCCUGGUAGUCCACGCCGUAAACGAUGAGUGCUAAGUGUUAGAGGGUUUCCGCCCUUUAGUGCUGCAGCUAACGCAUUAAGCACUCCGCCUGGGGAGUACGGCCGCAAGGCUG
rnacentral:rRNA from 1 species